UUCGCUCAGUGACCCACAGACACACACAAAAAUGGAGAGGACACAGAUAAAGAAAGAGCAAGAUAAGGGGAAGACGGAGGAAGAGGCGGUGCGCCUUCGGAGGGAGAUUGGGUUGCUGCCUGCUGUGUCCUUCAUCAUUGGGACUGUGGUUGGCAGUGGGAUCUUUAUCGCUCCGAAGGGAGUGUUGAUGAACAGUGGCAGCGUGGGGCUGUCUCUGCUGGUGUGGGCGCUGUGUGGCAUCCUGUCCCUGUUUGGGGCCUUAUGUUACGCUGAACUCGGAACCACUUUCACAAAAUCUGGAGGUCACUACACUUAUCUGCUGGAGACACUGGGGCCCCUACCGGCCUUCUUAAGACUCUGGGUUGAGUUCCUCUUUAUAAGACCAGCUGUGGCGUCCUACAUCUCGCUAGCUUUUGGACGUUACGUUGUUGAACCUUUAUUUGCACCUUGUCCUGCUCCUUCAGCGCUAAUCAAACUCGUCAGUAUCCUCGGAGUGACAUUUGUUGUUGCAGUUAACUGCUGGAGCGUAAGCCUGGCCUCCCGCACUCAGGUCACCUUGACCUUCAUUAAGAUGUUUGCGCUGGUACUCAUAAUUAUUCCUGGGGUCAUAGCUCUAGCAAAAGGAAAGACAGAAAAUUUCCAGAACGGAUUUGAGUUGGAGUCCAUAACUCUGGAUAGGCUGCCACUGGCUUUCUAUAAUGGUUUAUACGCAUAUGGUGGAUGGUUUUAUCUGAACUUUGUCACAGAAGAAGUAAUAAAUCCAAAUAGAAACAUCCCUUUGGCAAUAAUAUGCUCCAUGGUGACGGUGACAGUGUUUUACGUGCUUGUAAAUGUGGCCUACUACACCAUGAUGACGCCCGCUGAGCUGCUGCUGUCGGAUGCAGUGGCUGUGACGUUUGCAAACCGUGCUCUUCAGGGCCUGGCCUCAGUGAUUCCCAUUCUGGUCGCUCUAUCGUGCCUCGGAGCUCUCAAUGGCGGCUUCUUCGGGUCACCCAGGAUGCUGUUUGUGGGCGCCAGAGAAGGCCACUGGCCGCCGAUCUUUUCCAUGAUUCAUAUCCGACAACACACACCUUUACCUGCAGUGCUCCUCCUGUAUCCAUUGGUGGUGGUGAUGUUAAUCACUGGGGAAAUCUACCAGCUCAUCAACUUUGCCUCUUUUUCACGCUGGUUCUUCAUCGCUCUGGCAACCUUGGGCAUGCUCAUCCAUCGAUACCGCUUCCCCCACCACCCGAGGCCCUUCAAGGUCCCUCUGGUCAUUGCGGUCACCUUCACAGUGGUUUGCUUCUUCAUUGUGAGUCUCUCGCUUUAUUCGGACCCCUGGAACACGGGGCGGAGCUGUGCCCUCACUCUAACAGGAGUUCCAGUUUACUACGUGACUGUCCAUCGCUCUCGGGUGCCACAUAGAGUAAUGCACAUUUUCAAUUAUUGCAGCGAACAGCUGCAGAUCCUACUGGAAGUGGCUCAACAAGAAGUCCAGACAUACUGAAGACAUAUGAAGAACAUUGAAAAAGCAUCAACAACCCCUAAGACGUCUUAAAACAUUUUCAUGCUGAAAAAAAAAAAUUGCAGCAUCGUACAAGCAAGCUCCUAUAAAUGACAGCGAUGCAGAGCGGCUAAAAGAUAAGACAAAAGAGGAGGGCCACAUGCAAGAGAAGAAUUUGACACACAGAACAGUAAAAGCAAG